rnacentral:rRNA from 1 species
UACGAAGGGUGCAAGCGUUACUCGGAAUUACUGGGCGUAAAGCGUGCGUAGGUGGUUUGUUAAGUCUGUUGUGAAAGCCCCGGGCUCAACCUGGGAAUGGCAAUGGAUACUGGCAGGCUAGAGUGCGGUAGAGGGUAGUGGAAUUCCCGGUGUAGCGGUGAAAUGCGUAGAGAUCGGGAGGAACACCAGUGGCGAAGGCGGCUACCUGGACCAGCACUGACCACUGAGGCACGAAAGCGUGGGGAGCAAACAGG